rnacentral:lncRNA from 1 species
CUGUUGCAAAUCCCCAAAUUAGUUAAUGUCAGAGUGUUCCUGGUUUAUACAUGAUCUAGACCUCACUUGUUUCUAAGUUAGAAAUGGUGAAUAAUGGCUGCAUCUGGUUGACUGACAAUUUCACCCUAUUUGCCUUUUAAUUCUCCCCACAUGCCAUCUUCCUCACUUGAUUUGCUUUCAGCGCUCCUUUAAAAGUCCAUUAGCUGUGGGUGCCUUCAUCAAAUUACAGGCAGUCUUCAAUUUACAAGAAUCCUCACAGCCCCUGUCACACCCCUGUUCUGACUUCCACGGCACUUAGGACGCAUCACUCAGCCUGCACAUCUCCCCAGCUCUCUGGCUCCUAAAAGCCCCCGCAUCCCCCACGCCCCCACUCCAAACCCCACCCCACCACAUCCAGGCAUCAGGAGGCGGACUCUGCUGGGCAAGGGUGCUUUUCUGGGAAGGGCUCUGGUCUUCAUCUUCUGGGACAUCCCUGGCUCCCAGCCUCAGGAAAAGGCCCUCUCCAAGGCCCAGGAAAAAAACAAUAAUAAUAAGUGGGCUUCUGUAGCAAAAGCCACGAAAAUUGCUAAUUUAAAAACACUUCUGGCGUUCCCGUCAUGGCUCAGUGGUUAAUGAACCCGAAUAGGAACCAUGAGGUUUCGGGCUCAAUCCCCGGCCUCACUCAGUGGGUUAAGGAUCCGGCAUUGCCGUGAAUUGUGGUGUAGGUCGCAGCUAUAGCUCCGAUUAGACCCCUAGCCUGGGUACCUCCAUGUGCCGCAGGUAUGGCCCUAGAAAAAAAACAAAAAAACCCAAACAAACAAAAUAAACACACUUCUUUGAAAGAUUAUUAGUGCAGGGGUGUCCAGUCGAGGGUGGGUGGUCCAGCUGCAUCUGUCUCGUGACCCCACAGCCCCAGCCCUCAGUAUGCUGGGUUCCAGGCUUGCUGCAAACUAGCAAGAGGAUGCAGGUGAGCACACGCACUUGGAGGCCAGAGAGGCAAAGCCUGUGCUAUUCGGAAAUGUGACUUGACCUCUCAGAGCCUGGUUCCUCAUCUAUAACACGGCAUUACAACAUCACCAUCACUUACUAAAAAUAUAUGACAUUACCUUGUAUUUCUCAAACCAGAGUCUGUUGAACUGAAUUCUUGAUACGGACGGAAGGUGAGGUGGGAGUGUGGUCCCGUGUCUGCUCAUGUGCUCAUGUUAAAUCAUUUUAUCUCUUUACAGAGGGAAUGAACUUUUCCUUAAUGAUGAUAUGCAAUUAAUGGAUACUUUCAGAAAAGAAAACUUCAGUUUCUUAAAUUGGGGCUGCUCACACUGCUUUCAUGGAUGCAUUCCCAGGUACAGGUCUCAGAGUAACUGCUGUGUGGUUACAGCUAAGAAAGAGCAGCCCUGGAGUUCCCAUUGUGGCUCAGCGGUAACAAACCCAACUAGUAUUCAUGAGGACACAGGUUUGAUCCCUGGCCUUGCUCAGUGGGUUAAGGAUCCAGCGUUGCCGUGAGCUGUGGUAUGUGUAGGUCGCAUCAUGGCUUGGAUCUGGCACUGUCCAUUUUUCCUUAACUAAGGUAUUACUUUUAAAAUCCUGAUACCAAAUAGUAACUGAAAAUAUUUAGCUCCAUUUGGUUGAGAUUGGUGCCAUUCACCAAUAUUUCUGUUUCUCCUUUCCUGGCCACAAGGUGGGACUGCCCUUUUCCUGCAUAUGCCGUGGCCAAUGAAGUGUGCCUAGAAGUAACUUCCUCUCUCCCAAGGAGAAGCCUUUCACAGUCAGUUCCCACUUCACCCGUUGCUCCCCAGUGCCUUGGCAGAUGGCGCUAUUCCAGAUGGUCCAAGCUCUGCCAGCCUGUGCCUCGAAGGAGGGCACUGUGGAACAGAGGCCCCACCCACCCAAGAUGCACAUGGGAUAUGAGCAAGAGAUCCAACUUUGUAGUUAUGCAUCCCUAAGUUUGGUUGUUAUUUUUUAUUCAGUAUGUAUAUAAGCUAGCACAUUUUGACUGGUACACAGUGGAUUAAUCACUUGCAUAAAACCCUGGCUAUCACACCCUUGGUCUAAGAAUGUUAGCUUUCACUACAGCAUUGCCUUUUUCAGUAAGCUACCUUUCCCUAAAAGGUCAUCAGCCCUGAGAGGGAGAGUCACCUGCACUAAAUCCUACUCUUCCUGAAAGGUGAGCUGUCAUUCUCACCUGUCCACUGAUGGCUGGUACCUCUCUUUCCCUCUAAUGUCCUCUACGAGUCAUAUUUUUCAUUCUGUGCUUCCUACCUCAGCUCUUUUUGCUGAAGACAUGCUAGUCUUUUCGUCUCUUUUUCUACAUUACACCUUAACCUUGGAAUCACUUCUCAAUUCUCAUGUGCAAGCAACUAUCCUGCUCAUCAAACCUCAGGAACCUACCCAUUCAGAAGUCACCGUCAAUGAGGGAAGAGAUAGAGAAGAGAAAAUUAGAAUUUAUAAGGCCAUAGGCUCUCAAAGUUAAGGAUGCCUUUUAUUGCUGUAGCACUCAUUAAAUAUACCAUUAUUAAUAAUAAAUUCCCACUAUCCUAUCACAAAGAUAGGAUAGAAUGUUUGCAUGUUUGAAAAAUUCCAAAUGAAUGGAGGAUUUGAUUCACCCAAGUUAAAGAAAAUACUGUUUGGCAGGUCUAUCCACUGCAAAAAUCACUUCCUCAGUUUAUUAAUGAGAAAUGUAAAUACUUGUACAGUAGCCUGUGGGUGAGAUCAUGGUAGACAAAUCAACAAGGCAGCUAAUACAAUAUAUUAUUUCUUGUCAAUGAGGAAACAGGCCAUAACAAAGAGAAGCAAGCCCAAGCUCCAGCCCUCCCAGAACAAUUAAGUGAAGGGCUUGUCCGGAAGAGGAAGAGGGUUUAAUGGCUGAUUUCUCUGUAGAUAACCCUCUUCCAUGAGUUCUCUGGUCCUUGCUAAAUAUACAUAUUAGUUUGAGGGACUGAAAACCAUACCUCAGGCUUCUCUAACAAAGGGCUGCCAAUACCCAUUCCCAUUUCACGUAAAUAGUCUGAAGUCAUCUAAAUUACAUCGGACCCACAAAUUAGGUUUGAAACCAUAAAGCUUGUUACUGAAUGCCAACUCUUCUUUCCUAAUUAAAAAAUGUGACCCAAGAAUGCCAGAAAACAAAUUAAAUUAUGCUCACUCAGAGCCAUCUUCUCUUUACACCGCCCCUAGUCCAUCCCCUGAAUGUUUAUAGCAAAACAAGGUAGAGGAGAUAAUAAAAAAUCAUUACAGGCUGCAUUUUACAAUUAUUUUGUGAAAUUUCAUUAAUGUUGACAUUAUCGUGUACACACACAAACACACACAGACAAUAAAAUUAGAACAAUUCAACAGAGCUGAAAGCGUCUUUAGAUGCCUAAUGCCAUUACUGUGACGAUGAGGAGACAGAAUCCUAGAGGAAUCAAAUCCAGGACCAGAAUCCUAAUCAUAUAACCUCCAGUCAAGGACCCUCCCACCAGGACACAAGAGCCACAAGUGAAAAUAAACAGAAAGGAGAACAACAGGAAUCUGGUUCUGCCCCAACAUCUCUAAUUUUUUCCAGCAGUUGUUCCACCAUUGCAGUUAACUGUUAAUUGAACCUGCCUGCAUUUGCAAGGGGAAGGGAAGGAUGGAGGAAGGGGAGAACGAGGGGAGGGCCUUUGAGUUUAUUAGGAGAGAGUUGUCACAGAGAAAACCCUUUCCUUUGAAGCUGCACAUUUGCGAAUCAGCAUCUAUGACCUAGGAUAAGAAGAAUUAGCCACCUGCUAAAUCCCAACUUUCUGCUGACAUCUAAUCUCAGAGUUAGGGGUUCAUUACAAGACUUAGACUCUGCCAUCCCCCUUCACAGGUCUAGAGAAAGAAAAGAAAGAUAAAAAGCUGCAAAAAUGGUUACGAAGUUUAAUUAUUCAUAUGUCGGGCAAGUAAAACUGUCUUAUUGCUAAUACUUGGGUUACUGUGAGUUUAAACACCCUCUCCCCUCAAAGAGAGAGAAUGUAAGAAAUUAAUGGAAAAAAAUAUUUUCUUAAUUGUAUUUUAUAAAUAGGAGGUAAUAUAAAGGAUAAGCAAAUAAAUAUAAAAUUAGAGUUCUCUCGUGGCUCGGUGGGGUAAGGAUCCAGCUUUGUCACUUCUGUGGCUCUGGUUACAGCUGUGGCAUACUUGGAUCCCUGGUUUGGGAACUUCUGCUUGCCUUGGAUGUGCCCCGCCCCCCAAAAAAUAUAUGUAUGUGUGAAUAUUAUCAUUAAACGACAUAACACAUAAAACUAAACCAUAAAGCACUAAGUGAUUAUGAAUUGCUUUGAACAUACCCUUAACUUUGAUUCAUUCAACAAACAUUUACUGAGCAUAGACUAGGAACUGGAAAAGCACUAGACAAAAAAGGAAACUAAAAUCACCAAGACCUACACGCCUUAUUCAGUGAAGCUUAUAGCUUCUCAGAGAAGACAAUCCUCAGAUAACUGAUGAAUUACAAUAUGAGUUUGUGCAGCAAAGGGGAAUGACAAGCUCUUAUCUACUCCUCUGAUGUUUGGAUGACAGCAUCUAGGAACUAAAAAAAAAAUCUUAGAAGUAGAUAAUAUAUUUUUAAAUAACUUAAUCAUAAAAAUAAUAUGUAUAUUAUAGAAAAUUAGGAAAAUAAAGUAAGGAAACAAAAGAAAGUCUAUAGAACAGUAAUCUAUAAAAACACUAUUCACAGCGAUAAAGAUAAUAAUAGCUAUCAUUUAUAAGGAGGCACUAUUCUAAACAUUAGAUAACUAUUAUUUAAUUUUCAUAACAACCCUAUGAAAUAGGUCCUGUCA